AGAGGGGAAAAAAUGAGAAAGAGAAAUUUAAAGUGAAUAAUGGAUUUUUUUUUUGCUCUCGCAGGUGACACCAGGCAGCAACGCGGCUGACAUCAGGCUGCACAAAUUCAAACACAGGGAGUAGCUGGAUGAUCACUGACCACCAAGUCAUGGCACGCAGGUCUCAAGCGCCGUACACCAGUGUAACAUCUCCAAAUGAAACCCAGAAGGAACACAAGGGGACAAUGGUCAAAAAUAUUCCACUGUAAGCAGGGUGUUCAGAGAGUACCCUUCCCUGACAACAGAAAAAGAUGGAUCUCCACUGCAACCCUGUAAAAUAUAUAGGGAGUAUAAAAAUGGAUGUUGUAUGUUUUUGCCCUGUUCAUCUACUGUAAUUUUUUUCUCAUCUCCUACAGUACACACCAAAGGUUUGGACACACUUCCCCAUUUGUUUGAUUAAAAAAGGUGUGUCCAAACUUUUGGUCUGUACUAUAUAC